AACGUAGGAGACGAACGUUAUCCGGAGUUACUGGGCGUAAAGGGCGUGCAGGCGGUCUGAUAAGUUCGGCGUGAAAUAUUCCGGCUUAACCGGGAUAGGUCGUCGGAGACUGUCGGACUAGAGGGUGAUAGAGGCGUGUGGAAUUCCGGGUGUAGUGGUGAAAUGCGUAGAGGUCCGGAGGAACACCAGUGGCGAAGGCGACACGCUGGGUCACACCUGACGCUAAAGCGCGACAGCAUGGGGAGCGAACGGG
rnacentral:rRNA from 1 species